UUGGCUUCGUUGAAUAAAUUCCCUAAUUAACGAAGUCCCAGCAACAUGUAUGCCCUAGCUAGAUGUCCAACUUCGGUCCCUUAUUAGGCUGGAUCUCCAGGAGGGAUGGUACAUUACCCAGAUAUUUUCUGAUGAGGGUUUUGUCACUAGAAUGUAAAUCUUCCCACCAACUUAGAAAUCUUGGGUGGAUGUUGGUGACCAUACCGGAUCUGAGGACUUCGUGCCUCAUAUUUCUGCAAGACAAGCAAGGUUUGGCCUUUACCCCUACUAGACUCGACUAUUUAAGAUCAACAACUAGCAUGAAGCACUUAGUUCUCCAAAUAAAUGCACAGAACGUGAUGAUGUCCGUUUGGGUUUAGGAAAACCCAAUGGACUUUAGACAAGGCUAUCUUAAAGGAUCAUUACGUGGAUAAAAUAACUAAACCAACUAGGUUUGACCAUGAUGCAUGCACAAUAUUAAACAGAGUAAGGUUUCAUGGGGUUUUAGACCGGUACCCUUGAGCGAACAACUCAAGGAGGAAUCACGGAACUGUCUACUGCAUCACUGAUCGACUAGUAUUACCGCAAAUAAGCCUUUCUAAAUUUAGGGGGUUAAUGAUAUAGGAAGGGCGGAACCACUAAUCAAGCAUUGCUAUAGUAUUUGUUUGGCACGAGCGUAUUAUGAGUUGAGCAUGAUUAUAUAUUAAUUAAAAGCAUCUUGACAUGUAUUUGCACGUUAAAAAAGCGAUAAAUACAACAGUUUUAUAAUUUAAAGCAGUUACAAAGGAAGGAAACGAGAAAUAUAUGUCAGUUUUGCUUUUGAAAAAGAAAUUAAACACUUAUAGGAAUUAAACAAAUAUUUGCACAUAGAAGGGGUACAAAUUUAAAAGAAAAGGUAUGAAAUGGAAAAAGCCGAAAAGUCCCCCGCAUAGUCACCAUGAUGUUGCGCCCCCUUUUUUCUUGCAAAAUCGGGUUUAUGACAUUUGGUUGGACAACUCUUUCCUUUUGGAAAUGGGUUUUGCCUUUUUUGAUAAGUCGCCGCCUAACGAUUUAAGGUGUGUUAGGCACCUACAAGGUCCAUUUAUAACUAUGUUUGGUAACCAGAGACAUGAUAAGGGCUUGAAAUUAUCCUAAGGGGAAGGUGAUAGGAACCCCUUAGGAUCUACUAGUGUGGUUCCCUACCAAACAGUUUUUUGUCAAGUUGUACAGCUUGCAAAUAAACAAGUAGGGCUCAAAUAAUAGGGAUUUACAUUUAAAUACAUAGGUGUAAGAAAACAACUAAUGAAAAACCUAGAUUUUAAAAAGAAUUACAAUCUGAGCGUAUUUGUGAAUUUAAGAGGGGGAAGGUGUCAUAGGUUUGUUUAUAAUAUGGAUCACGUCAAUGCAAUACUUGGUAUGGCAGUCCACAAAGAGGGGCUACACGUGGUAUUAAUGCACCGGUCAUUAUAUCCGUAUCUACCCUUUCCCACCCCGUAAAGGUAAUUAAAACGAGGGUUAGUCUCAACCCAUAUUGUACGCUAUUACCCAUACUUUCCUAUGUUCCUGGAGGAGUUUAGGAUUUCUAUCUUUUGAGGGAGGUUCUAGGCAGACCCUUAGUUUAAACGCGAAAAGCUAGGCGACAAAUAAGAACACAGAGGGCUGUAUUUAGAGGGGAAAACACAGAAAACAGAUAGAAGGCUCCUAUAUACCUCCACAAAUAAUGCACAUAAACAGCAUGACUCAUGCAAAAUUAAGGUAUAAAUUUAGAUCCUAUGCAUGGUAUCUAAGUGAUAACAACAAAAUCAGAUUUAUUACAUAACCCAGAGAAGAAUUUCAAAUCAGGCUUUCCUAUUGAUUUUAAACCAAUUGAUAAUUACGAAGCAUACAUAAAGAAGCAUGUUUCUAGUUAUCAGGGUUACUUAGAGAUGACCGGUUGAAUUGUAUUACUAAACAUGCUAUUCUAAAUGUUCAAAUUUGAGAAUUGUUACCAACUAGGUUAAUCUAUUUUUUAAUAGUUAAACUAGAGAUGGCUACACGGAUGUGGAUGAAAUUAUAAAGGCAUGAUAUCUAAUGCACAAAAAAAGCAGAAUGAUGUACAUACAGGACCCGAGCAAGAUUUUUUUUUCUAAAUGUAUAAGUGUUACAUACUUUCAGAAUAUGAAGGAGACAUGGAAAUGAUCUGUUUAUUAGCGUUGUUUUUAUCCUAAGGCAGGAUCUCUAAGUAUACAUGGCAGCGCAUAACAUAAUGGUAAAGUGCUAGUUAUUAGUAGAUUUUAACACAUGAUUUUAUAAGGAUGCACAUGCUGAAAUAGUAAACAUGGGACGUAAGAGCAUGAUUUCUAAUGGAUGUAUGUAUACUAAACAUGGUUUCUAUGGUGCAACUAGUAACAUAAACCUAAUAACACGUUUUCUACCUUUAACAACUAUUGCAUGCAUAUUUACCCCAUCCAUUUCACUAGCCAACCCUAAUACUUGUUUAUAACUGAUUAUUACAAACCAAUACUGAAAUGAAUUACAUAAGCAGAUAAGAAAAAGUUACACUAUAGAGAGCCUGAAAAUAAGCUCAGACCUUUAGCACCUGACUAGGACUUCCUCCCUGAGUUAUGUAAUAAAUUACCUCAAGUUCUAAGAUAGUUCCAUAGUCUUUCUCAUAUCUGGGUGUGUUAGAGUACGCUAAGGAUCUCAAGAGAUCCCAGGCAGUGUUCACACCCAGACUUCAUAGCUAUACAGAGUGAGUGCAGUGUGGAAAGGCCAGCUUUUGUGUGUCCAAGUUUAGAGGAAGCUCAAGGGUCCCAAGGCAAGGCUUAUACAUAAGGGACAAAACUUAGUGGUCUAAGAGUAGAGUGAGAGUGCUUGACAUAGGUUUAAAAGAGUUGAGUAGGAAGAACUUUUGAAAAUGAUAAGCUUGAGAUAAGUUUUGGAAAGCAAUAGAAGAGUUUGCCUUAGUGAAAAACAAUUUGAAGAAGAAAAACAGGACAAUCAGCAACUCAAAACCAAAUCAACAUACAUAGUUCAACAUAAACAGGGAAUGGAGGAAUUGGGGACAAGAAGUUCAUAUGUGAAAGCAUAUUUGCACAUAGGUUGACACCAGAGAAGUAUUACAGAUCUUAAAUAAUCACAUCAAUAGUCUAAUAAAAAGGUAUUCAUGUUAGGAGCUUAACAACAUUAGAUUUAAGGGAUGCUAGACAGAGUUACACAUUAGGUUUAUGGGAGAAAGGUUCAGGAUCACAUAGUAACUAGGUGUCAUGCUUGUAAUGUAUUAGGGGUUAGGGAUAGGGCAGAAUAAUAGUAGAAAAUAUAAGAAAGUAGUAGACAUGCUGAAUUAUAGGGAACAGGUAAUCACAUGGCAAAGUAGGCAUGCUAAUUGCAAGAGAGAUAGCAGAACCACAAGUAGAGGCAUAAGAGAAACAAAAAGAAAUGCAAUCAAAACAGAGACAUAUUGUUUUGGAUGCUAUAAGUUAAACUGAAAACAUAUCAGUAAAAAAAGAGAGUAAGUGCAGAGUGAGGAGUGAGAGCAGUACAAUGAAGGGAAGUAGAGCAGUAGAGUAUUAGAAUAAUAGAGCAGUAGAGCAAUGUAACCCUUUUGUUUUUGCUUGUAGCCAACUGAGUAUCAUGUAAAUAGCAAGAGAAGCAAGAGGGCAUGUAUGCGUGUAAGAGAGAGUUCAGAAUAAUGUUCUUAUUCUUGUCAAGAUUGUAGAAGUGAGUAAUUUAUAUAGUAAUUUGAAAACUGGUUAAAAUAAGGCAAAAAUCAAUUCUUUGGUAAUUGUAGAACUCAAUAUAAAAAAUUUGUUCAAAUCAACGUUUAAUUAUGUGAGUUAUUGUAAAAAGUAAAAAGCAGGUGGCAAGUAAAGAACGAAAUCAUACAGGGCUGAAGUAUAACAAAUAAGGAAAGAUUUCAAAGUAGUUCCAGUAUAGAGCAGGUAAUUAAGGCUAGGUUCAGAAACUUUUUUAACUAAGGAAACAAUCAGUAAGAAUUAAGUAGCAAUGCAGACAACGCAAGCAAAAAUUAAUUAGGUGGAGCAACUAAUCAUAUUAAGUGGAAAGGUAGGAUUCGGGGGGUCCAAAGGAAAAUGUUCAAAUCACAUCAAGUAAUUGGGUAUUCAGAAUCAAUCAAAGAUAAAGUCAUGAAAAAGAGUCUGCAUGUUUAACAUAUAAAUAGAGUAAGACAUGGGUAGUCAUGAAUUGGCACAAAACUCUAGCAAAACAUAAAGAUCAAAUGAUAUAGAAUAAGUGAGAAAUAAGCAAGUCUUGAUGCGAACAGUCAAGAUGAAUAUAAACACAUAGAAUUGGUGUAAUUAUAGGUAGAGAAUCUCAGUAGAAACAUAUCAAGGAAAGACAGUCACAAGAAAUCACAAGAACUCAAAACAAAUAUGAGAAUCAGUAAGUCAUGUAAAUACAUAGAAACCAAAUGAAGAACCCUAAAAAUUAGGGGUUUUGACAUAGGCUAGUUUGGGUCAAGGAAAAACUCAAAAAAAUCAGUCAAAACACAUAGAAACGGGGGAGUAAACACUUAAAACCAGAAAGCGUUUCAAAGAAAAGGAUUUUUAGAAACCCUAGUUUUGGAAGAUUACAAGCCACUCGAAAAUCAGGAGAUUUUCCAGAAAAGAAGUAAAAAUAAGUUCGAUCCUUCUCAGAUCUGUACAGAUCUAAGAAGUUUAAGAGAUGAAAUGAGGGUUUUCAACAUAAUAAUGCGAAUAAAUGAGAAAGCUUAAACAAAUGUUUUAAACAUAAAGAUUCAGAGAUUAAUACAAAAAUCAGAAAAAAGAAACAUUUUUGAAGAGGUGUUCAAGGACCCUAGUUAGAAGAUGAAAAGUUACUUUAGAUAAAUCAGAAGAACCUUUGCGAAAAAUAACAGAAGCUCAUAAUACACAUAUAUCAAAGAUAGAUCUAAAAGAAAU
rnacentral:lncRNA from 1 species